AUUAUGACGUUUCCGUCUUCGCUAGUGGCGCAGCUUUUGGCGGCUAAGUACUGACUUAGAAUCAAGGCACAUAAUCCCGGCGUCAAGACACUUCCGUAGCAGCAUCUUCGGAUCCUCUCGAAUGUAGGACUCACUCCUUUAUUUAUUAAAUUUUAUCUCAAUUCUUUUUAUUGAUUAGGUUUAGUUGUAUGCUCUGAGCACGUUCCUUAAAUUAUUAAUUCUUAGUAUUUAAAUUUCUAACCUUUAUUUAUUUCUUA